rnacentral:rRNA from 1 species
GGCCAGCAUCGAUUCGCGCGGUGGGAUAAUGCUUCUUGAAUGUGGCUACAUUUUUUGUGUAGUGUUAUAGCUUGGAGAGAUACUGCCAGUGUGGAUNGAGGCUUGCGUNUUUUUAGACUAGGAUGCUGGCGUAAU